rnacentral:rRNA from 1 species
UAGGGAAUCUUCCACAAUGGACGAAAGUCUGAUGGAGCAACGCCGCGUGCAGGAUGAAUGCCUUAGGGUUGUAAACUGCUUUUAUAUGUGAAGAUUAUGACGUUAACAUAUGAAUAAGGAUCGGCUAACUCCGUGCCAGCAGCCGCGGUCAUACGGAGGAUCCAAGCGUUACCCGGAAUUACUGGGCGUAAAGAGUUGCGUAGGUGGCACUUUAAGUCAGACGUGAAAUCUCGAGGCUCAACCUCGAGGCUAUGUCCGAAACUGAAGAGCUUGAGCAUGUGAGGGGUAGCUGGAAUUUCUGGUGUAGGAGUGAAAUCCGUAGAUAUCAGAAGGAACACCAAUGGCGUAGG